CCCAGAGUAUGCCUGUUCGCGGGUUAGGUUGUGGCAUGACUCUGGGGAAAUCGAAUUUUUUUAUCCAAAAUGAGAUAAAUGGCGCAUGCGCUUUUAUUGCUUUGGUUCAUUCCGCUUACUAAAUUCGCGCGGGCACACGCUCACAAUCGAUAUUGUUUUAAACAAAGAUUCUCAUCAGAAUAUAGUGUACAAAAAGGUUUUUUAUACGUUUAAAGGUGUUUUAAAUCGUACUACUAUUAAAUUAUAUUCAAUGGCAAAUACUGAAAGAGCUAUGAAAGCUGUUCUAGCGAAAAGAGGGCUUGAAUAUUCGUUAAAAGACGAGACAUUCAAAAUUUUAUGUAUCUCGGCCAUUGUAAAAGGAUGAAGAUGUUUUGGUUGUUUUGCCAACAGGUUAUGGGCAUAUUAUGGCAAAUAUUAAAAUAUUUCAGCUGCUACCUGACGUGUACGACAUGUUACUUGGCGUAUUAACUAAUUCUAUCGUGAUAGUCAUAUCUCCACAUGAAUGACCAAGGCUGCAAGGCAUUUCUGCAUGCAUGAUAGUAUGUCAAAGUAUGAUACGUACAAGGCUAUUCUGUGCUAAAACUGUCUGUACCAAUGUAGGUAGUACCAAUGUAGAAAUGCUGUGCUGAGUGGUUAUAUUACUACCUUAAAAAAUAAGCAGAAACUCAACGUUUCGAGCGAAGGCCCUUCGUCAAGAGUUAGUAGCAUUCUGUGCUACACUAUAUAUGGUGAUGGCAGCGAUGUCAAAUGACCAUUGGAUCGACAUGAGAACCUGACGUUUAAGCUGUUCUAUAUGCACCCAGAAAUGUGUGUCUAUGACAAGAAAAUACAAGCUUUUUUCAACUGUAAACCUCUGAAUAUAAUGCUCACCUCAUUCCAAAUAUAACCCCCCCCCCAAGUAUAAGCCCCCCCCCUGAAUAUAAGCCCCCUGAAUACAAGCCCGGUAUCCCACUAUGUUAUUUAACAUUGACAUUGUCUUUAAAUAUAGCAGAGAACGAUAUUUGAAACACUGUCAUUGUCUUUAUAGCUUACUAUGUUAAUGGAAGUGUGUUAUUAAUACAUGUUUAUUUUCCUGUUCAUGAGUGACUGACUUGUUUAUUACUAACACAAUUGAUUGUCCAUGUAUAAGGCCCCCAUGCAUAUAGCCCCCCCCCCCCAAGCCCAUGAAAAAUCGCUUCAAAACAAUAUAAGCCCAGGGCUUAUAGUCAGAGGUUUACGAUAUUAUAUAUCACAUAUUUUUUAUAUUAUAUUACUUUUUAUACUAUAUUAUUUUUUAUAUUAUAUUACAACAUAUAUACAUGGACCACAUAUAAAGUCUUUAAAUGACAGUACAUUGUGUUUGUAAUUAUAAUUACUAUAAUUACUUGUGUCAAAAGUAAGAAAUGAAGUGAACAAAUCCAUAUAUAUUUGUUGAAAAAUUCUUGCAGUGGGUAUCUUCCUUUUGCUUUUCAUGCUUCACACUGUGUAUCUUUGAACAUUUAAUCAGCAACUAAUUAUAGGCAAGAAUAUAUUUACUAGCUCAUUUCUCCAUAUUACCAGGUACAUAACAUGCAAUAUAUCAACCUUGCAAUCCAUGCUUUAACCCAUGCAGUUGCCCCCUCUCCUGGAGCAUGUUUGGGAAGGGAGAGGAAGGAAUGG